UUGAUCAUAGAUCAAAUACAUAGUGGCCAUUCCGGCCGAGACUACUGCAGUCCGUUGUGCGCUCAGAAGUGCACUCUACUGCAAAGCAAGGGGUUCCCACACGACUACAAAGGAAAAGUGCAGUCUGGGUUAACCCCUAAAACAUCUCACGAAUUUAACAUGAUCCGUCACUUCGUUCAAAAUGUGCUGCGCAUCAAAGAGUUGGCCUACAUUCAUUCACCCGGAACACGUAUUCCAUCCCUACCUGGUCGUCGGUGGCUUCUGUUACUCCCUUGGAUCUGCCAAUUCAAUCCCAUCAACUCAACUCCGCUGCCCGCUCCGCUACCUGGAUCUUUCUAUCUCUACACUUAAACUUGUAAAUAAAUACUCACCUUCGUCUUA